rnacentral:rRNA from 1 species
AUGAACGCUAGCGACAGGCUUAACACAUGCAAGUCGAGGGGCAGCACAGGUAGCAAUACCGGGUGGCGACCGGCGCACGGGUGAGUAACGCGUAUGCAACUUGCCUAUCAGAGGGGGAUAACCCGGCGAAAGUCGGACUAAUACCGCAUGAAGCAGGGAUCCCGCAUGGGAAUAUUUGCUAAAGAUUCAUCGCUGAUAGAUAGGCAUGCGUUCCAUUAGGCAGUUGGCGGGGUAACGGCCCACCAAACCGACGAUGGAUAGGGGUUCUGAGAGGAAGGUCCCCCACAUUGGUACUGAGACACGGACCAAACUCCUACGGGAGGCAGCAGUGAGGAAUAUUGGUCAAUGGGCGCGAGCCUGAACCAGCCAAGUCGCGUGAGGGAUGAAGGUUCUAUGGAUCGUAAACCUCUUUUAUAAGGGAAUAAAGUGCGGGACGUGUCCCGUUUUGUAUGUACCUUAUGAAUAAGGAUCGGCUAACUCCGUGCCAGCAGCCGCGGUAAUACGGAGGAUCCGAGCGUUAUCCGGAUUUAUUGGGUUUAAAGGGUGCGUAGGCGGCCUUUUAAGUCAGCGGUGAAAGUCUGUGGCUCAACCAUAGAAUUGCCGUUGAAACUGGGAGGCUUGAGUAUGUUUGAGGCAGGCGGAAUGCGUGGUGUAGCGGUGAAAUGCUUAGAUAUCACGCAGAACCCCGAUUGCGAAGGCAGCCUGCCAAGCCAUGACUGACGCUGAUGCACGAAAGCGUGGGGAUCAAACAGGAUUAGAUACCCUGGUAGUCCACGCAGUAAACGAUGAUCACUAGCUGUUUGCGAUACAUUGUAAGCGGCACAGCGAAAGCGUUAAGUGAUCCACCUGGGGAGUACGCCGGCAACGGUGAAACUCAAAGGAAUUGACGGGGGCCCGCACAAGCGGAGGAACAUGUGGUUUAAUUCGAUGAUACGCGAGGAACCUUACCCGGGUUUGAACGCAUUCGGACCGAGGUGGAAACACCUUUUCUAGCAAUAGCCGUUUGCGAGGUGCUGCAUGGUUGUCGUCAGCUCGUGCCGUGAGGUGUCGGCUUAAGUGCCAUAACGAGCGCAACCCUUGCCACUAGUUACUAACAGGUAAAGCUGAGGACUCUGGUGGGACUGCCAGCGUAAGCUGCGAGGAAGGCGGGGAUGACGUCAAAUCAGCACGGCCCUUACAUCCGGGGCGACACACGUGUUACAAUGGCGUGGACAAAGGGAAGCCACCUGGCGACAGGGAGCGAAUCCCCAAACCACGUCUCAGUUCGGAUCGGAGUCUGCAACCCGACUCCGUGAAGCUGGAUUCGCUAGUAAUCGCGCAUCAGCCAUGGCGCGGUGAAUACGUUCCCGGGCCUUGUACACACCGCCCGUCAAGCCAUGGGAGCCGGGGGUACCUGAAGUCCGUAACCGCGAGGAUCGGCCUAGGGUAAAACUGGUGACUGGGGCU